rnacentral:rRNA from 1 species
GUGCCAGCAGCCGCGGUAAGACGAACCGUGCGAACGUUGUUCGGAUUCACUGGGCUUAAAGGGCGCGUAGGCGGGCGGCCCAGUCAGGGGUGAAAUCCUCCGGCUCAACCGGAGAAGGGCCCCUGAUACUGGUCGUCUCGAGGGAGGUAGGGGUCGAUGGAACUUCCGGUGGAGCGGUGAAAUGCGUAGAUAUCGGAAGGAACGCCGGUGGCGAAAGCGAUCGACUGGACCUCUUCUGACGCUGAGGCGCGAAAGCCAGGGGAGCGAACGGGAUUAGAUACCCGCGUAGUCC